GACGGGUGAGUAAUGCCUGGGAAAUUGCCCGGUAGAGGGGGAUAACCAUUGGAAACGAUGGCUAAUACCGCAUAACCUCGUAAGAGCAAAGCAGGGGACCUUCGGGCCUUGCGCUACCGGAUAUGCCCAGGUGGGAUUAGCUAGUUGGUGAGGUAAGGGCUCACCAAGGCGACGAUCCCUAGCUGGUCUGAGAGGAUGAUCAGCCACACUGGAACUGAGACACGGUCCAGACUCCUACGGGAGGCAGCAGUGGGGAAUAUUGCACAAUGGGCGCAAGCCUGAUGCAGCCAUGCCGCGUGUAUGAAGAAGGCCUUCGGGUUGUAAAGUACUUUCAGUAGGGAGGAAGAUGGUUAAGUUAAUACCUUAAUCAUUUGACGUUACCUACAGAAGAAGCACCGGCUAACUC
rnacentral:rRNA from 1 species